UGUGACUCAGAGAGGAGUGACUCAGUAAUCGAAUCUGACAGAGACUGUGAUAGAAACAGUCUGACUCUUCUCAGAGUGAACACUUGUACGAUGGAUCUUCAUUCAGUUAUUCUGUUCUGUGCCUCAAUUGCUGCGGUCUUUGGAAAUGUAAUUAAACCAAACAAAACCGAUAUUGUUUAUGAGGAGGAUUCAAAUGUUACAUUGACCUGUAGUCAUUCCCCUGGAGCUUCAGAUACUCUCUACUGGUACCGUCAGUAUGGAAGAUCAAAACCUGAAUUUCUUGUACUCACCUACGGUAGUGCAAAAGAAGCUCAGCGGUCUGAUGUAGAUCCAAGAUUUUCUGUUAAAGUUGAAAAAAGGGAAAAAAAACACGUGGAUCUGAAGAUCUCUUCUGCUGCUGUAUCAGACUCUGCUCUGUACUACUGUGCUCUGAGGCCCACAGUGACAGGAAACACAUCAGCUCUCUACAAAAACCUGUUACAGUGAGAGACAAGAGAGAAACACAGAGACAGAGAUGAAGACGGAGAGAAAGA